CGGCGGACGGGUGAGUAACGCGUGGGUAACCUGCCUCAUACAGGGGGAUAACAGUUGGAAACGACUGCUAAUACCGCAUAAGCGCACAGUACCGCAUGGUACAGUGUGAAAAACUCUGGUGGUAUGAGAUGGACCCGCGUCUGAUUAGCUAGUUGGUGGGGUAACGGCCUACCAAGGCGACGAUCAGUAGCCGACCUGAGAGGGUGACCGGCCACAUUGGGACUGAGACACGGCCCAA
rnacentral:rRNA from 1 species